GCUCCUUCGUAUUGUUAUGUCACUGUCUCCUCUUUUAAGUUAUACUUGCGCAAGACUUACAUCCACCUCACUAGUACUUCCUACACUCCUGACUUACCUAGUCACACUCACUUUUCACGACUCAAUAAAAAUAUCUAACAUUUCUCUCUUUGUCUUUUCAUUCUUUCUGCCUUUUCAUUCUCUUAGUCUUUUCAUUUAAUCUUCCUUGUCUUUGUUUCCUGUCCUUGUUUGUUGUCUAGUGGUGAGCAAAUUUUGGCACUUUCCUCGUCUUCUUGUACAAUGUAAUUGUCCGUUAAAGUUAUGUAUAAAUAUCCAGUUCUUUAUGUGUCAAAUUAAAGUUGUUAAAUUAAAUUAAAUAUUAAAAACAAACUUACCUUCAUUAACGUCGACGACUUUGCUCCAUUCUUUUAGACGUUUUUAGACAAUUUUUGGCUCUCAAAAAGGUUUUGAAAUUUGCAAAAUCUUGCAAAAAUACAAUAAAUUUGCUGAUUUGCAAGAAAUGUUUG